ACCUCACGAAGGGAGUGGAGCGUGCGAGCUGAGGGCGGGGAAGCGCUGUGGUGGGCGGAGUCCUGCCACCUGCUCUUGCCACCCUUAAACUCUCUGGGUCUCGGGCUACGCUGAAAACAGGAAAACGAGACGGCGUAUUUUGCUCGCGAAAGUUCUCUGUCUUUGGUUUUACUUACCCGUCUCCGGCCCAGGGCUAACUUUCCCCACCUCCCCGGGGAGGGUCAAGGUGACUCCAGAUUUUACAAUUAGAGACUCACAAACUUCCAGGGCUGGGAGGUUGCUGUCUCGCGCAGGCAUGUCCCGAUCUGUUCCAAGUUCUUAGCUGCCCAGGUGUUGGAGUCGCCCUGUUGCACCGCCAAUAAUGAAUCGAGACUCUUGUGUUUAAAUGAAGGAGGAAUACGCUUUCUCUCGCGGGGACGUGAACUCGGUUAGCAGAAUGAAAAAGACCACUUGAACUAUCACACAGGAGCAUUGCGCGCCUUUCCUGAAUGUUGCGAUGGGUGCUUUAAUUGCUGUUAACUCUUAACAGUGCAGCACUAGCUAGAUACGGGGCAAACCUCAAAAAGGCACUGUUUGUAGGAGCACUUUCUGAACUCGAUCCAAUUGUCCAUUAGUGUCCAGCAAGGAACUUGUGGCCCCAGCAAACUGAUGGAGACGUUAGAGAAGAUAGACAAAGGAUGGAAGUUGAUAUGGGCUCCUGGAAGUUCAGGUCUGCUUAGCAAGAGCUGAAGAGAAAGUUGACUGGCCCAUAAAAGAAAAAUGAUUCAGAAAGUCCCGAGCAAGUGAAACCCGGAAACGUACUACACUUGUGUCUGGCAGCCUCAUGCCCUGGAGCCCCAAAACACAGAGCCUCCAUGCAGUCGGUGAAGAGAACUCUGAAGAGAUGUCACCUCAUUUCUCCCCAGCUCUUGCUCAGUCAAAAAGGACAUGGGAUAUCUGAAAGCAGAAGCAGGAAGACUAUUCUCAGGUGUGCUGGGGAAUGGGUGUGCUGGAUGAAGCUGGAGGCUGGAAAGAAUGGUCUCCCAUGUUCUUCAGGUCUUCUCAUUGUUCUUUAUGGUCAAUGUGAGGGGUAUGGGACAUUUAGAUUCUUUGAAGUUUCCAUGAGAAUAUUUGGCUGAAAUAGGGGAAAGAAGAUAGGGACAAGAGUAAAAUACAUCUCACUGUGGAUAUGAAGAAGGGGUGUGGUAACCAUUCUCAAAAUGGCCUCCAGUAAUCCUUGCCUUCUAGUGUUUUUAUCUUGCAUAGUGUCUCUCCCUGCAUUGAAUCCCUUUUUGUCUGUAUGACCAAUAAAAUAUGGCAAAAAUGA